rnacentral:tRNA from 1 species
GGGCUUGUAGCUCAGGUGGUUAGNNGGUUAGAGCGCACGCCUGAUAAGCGUGAGGUCGAUGGUUCGAGUCCAUCCAAGCCCA